UGGGUUGUCAAUGGGGCGCUCGCUCCCGCCUUCCCCUCUCCCCCUUCUGUCCCCUGUCCUGGCUCACUCCCCCGUCUCUGGAGUCCUUCUCCCCGCCCCCCUCCACACCGGCUCGCAGUCUGUGAAUGAAACCCUCCCGCAGCAGCUUUCUUCAACCGACCCCCCCGCGCCGAGCCGCUCCGGCCUCAGACGUGCAGCCCCGGGCACCGCGAGAAGGGGGCAGGGAGCACAGUGACCUUGGGUAUUAACCAGGACACCGAGUGUCUUUACUAUUAUUGUGUUGUUAAAAGGAUAAUAAGGAUUGAAGCGAUCACGGAGUGCAGUCGUGCUGCCUGCUACUGUAGCAGCCUUCGAGCAGAGGUUCAGAACGGUAAACUAGCGAGCCUGGGAAGAGACUGUAACAUAAGGAGAGAGGACUUCCCAUUUAAUACAUCUUUGUAAAAUGCUGUCAAAUAGCAUCUUAUUUCAAACCUUGUCUUUGCCAAUUACUUUUAAAAAGCUAUGAUUUCAUGUACCUUG